rfam:Ectocarpus siliculosus strain Ec 32, whole genome shotgun sequence assembly, chromosome LG01
GCUUCUGUGGUGUAGUGGUUAGCAUUCCUCAUUUGGGUUGAGGAGGUCCUGGGUUCAAAUCCCAGCUGAAGCC